AGUCCCAAAGAAGGAGGGUGCAUUUUUAUUUUAGAAGAAAGUGAAAACUAACAAUUUCAAGACUCAUCAAGAUACCUGGAGAUAUUGCUUAAAUCUGAGCUAUCAACUCACAUUGACCUUCCUCAGAGAAACAACACAGAUAAACACCCACCAGAACUGGCCAUAACCUAAAAUUCCACAGUUUACAUUCAAACAAUCAAGGGAGGUGAUUCAGAAAUGAUAUUACAUUUUGCAUUUUAUUCAAUUCUAUGUGACAAAAUAUGAACCAAGACUAAGACAUCCAUUUCAGUUAGUUGGUAUGUUGAGCCACAAAUUUCUUCAAAAAAACAUGGAUCUAGGCAGCAUGGACCUCCCCAGCUGGUUUGGGGAGGCCCUGUCCCCACAUGGCAUUGCAGUA